rnacentral:sRNA from 1 species
AUUUGGUUAGGGAUAGCAGUGGAAAGCCUUUUUAAAACUUUGUUACAGACAAAUUAGGCAAGAACUUAAAUUGGACAGAUUGCUUCGCCCUUCGUCCUCGCAAUGACGUUUUAAAAAGAUUGUAGCGUAUAGCCCGACCCCUU